rnacentral:tRNA from 1 species
GACUCUGUAGCUCAGUUGGUUAGAGCACUGCACCAGAAUUGCAGGUCUGCAGGUUCGAUUCCUGCCAGAAGGUCA